rnacentral:rRNA from 1 species
GAUGAACGCUAGCGGCAGGCUUAACACAUGCAAGUCGAGGGGUAACAUUGUGCUUGCACAGAUGACGACCGGCGCACGGGUGCGUAACGCGUAUACAAUCUACCUUAUAGAGGGGGAUAGCCCAGAGAAAUUUGGAUUAAUACCCCAUAGUAUUAUGAAAUAGCAUUAUUUCAUACUUAAACAUUUAUGGCUAUAAGAUGAGUAUGCGUUCUAUUAGUUAGUAGGUAAGGUAACGGCUUACCUAGACAUCGAUAGAUAGGGGUCCUGAGAGGGAGAUCCCCCACACUGGUACUGAGACACGGACCAGACUCCUACGGGAGGCAGCAGUGAGGAAUAUUGGACAAUGGGCGAGAGCCUGAUCCAGCCAUGCCGCGUGCAGGAAGACGGCCCUAUGGGUUGUAAACUGCUUUUACAGAGGAAGAAACCCUCCCUUGCGAGGGAGCUUGACGGUACUCUGCGAAUAAGGAUCGGCUAACUCCGUGCCAGCAGCCGCGGUAAUACGGAGGAUCCAAGCGUUAUCCGGAAUCAUUGGGUUUAAAGGGUCCGUAGGCGGGACAAUCAGUCAGCGGUGAAAGUCUGUGGCUCAACCAUAGAAUUGCCAUUGAUACUGUUGUUCUUGAAUACUUAUGAAGUGGUUGGAAUAUGUAGUGUAGCGGUGAAAUGCAUAGAUAUUACAUAGAACACCGAUUGCGAAGGCAGAUCACUAAUAAUUUAUUGACGCUGAUGGACGAAAGCGUAGGUAGCGAACAGGAUUAGAUACCCUGGUAGUCUACGCCGUAAACGAUGGUUACUAGCUGUUCGGGAGCAAUCCUGAGUGGCUAAGCGAAAGUGAUAAGUAACCCACCUGGGGAGUACGUUCGCAAGAAUGAAACUCAAAGGAAUUGACGGGGGCCCGCACAAGCGGUGGAGCAUGUGGUUUAAUUCGAUGAUACGCGAGGAACCUUACCAGGGCUUAAAUGUAGUUUGACCGAUUUGGAAACAGAUCUUUCGCAAGACAAAUUACAAGGUGCUGCAUGGUUGUCGUCAGCUCGUGCCGUGAGGUGUCAGGUUAAGUCCUAUAACGAGCGCAACCCCUGUGGUUAGUUGCCAGCGAGUCAAGUCGGGAACUCUAACCAGACUGCCAGUGCAAACUGUGAGGAAGGUGGGGAUGACGUCAAAUCAUCACGGCCCUUACGUCCUGGGCCACACACGUGCUACAAUGGUAGGGACAGAGAGCAGCCACUGCGCAAGCAGGAGCGAAUCUACAAACCCUAUCUCAGUUCGGAUCGGAGUCUGCAACUCGACUCCGUGAAGCUGGAAUCGCUAGUAAUCGCAUAUCGUCCAUGAUGCGGUGAAUACGUUCCCGGGCCU